rnacentral:rRNA from 1 species
UACGGAGGCAGCGAGCGUUGUUCGGAGUUACUGGGCGUAAAGGGUGUGUAGGCGGUCCCUUAAGUUUGGUGUGAAAUCUCCCGGCUUAACUGGGAGGGUGCGCCGGAUACUGAGGGGCUAGAGUGCGGGAAGGGAAAGUGGAAUUCCUGGUGUAGCGGUGAAAUGCGUAGAUAUCAGGAGGAACACCGGUGGUGCAAACGGCUUUCUGGACCGUAACUGACGCUGAGACACGAAAGCGUGGGGAGCAAACAGG